UUACUCCGACCGGCUCCAUCCGUUGUUGCAUUUCUCUCUCUCUCUCUCUCUCUGUAUGUAUGUAUAUGAAUCGAUGUAGAGCCGACCCGAGAAUGCAUAAGUCGGUCCAGUGCGCAUUCUCUCUGUGGAGCUAGCCCUAGCUCCACCUUGUUGUCUCACUUCGAAUGGCGGUGAAUUCGUGCGAGGAGGAUGCGUAUUACAUUUUAGUGGUACCCGAUGAAGGUACCGCAGAUCCAAACUGUGAAUCGCAGUUAAGGCACGCAGAAGUCCCCAACCCACUCGAUUGUCAGAUGUGCUUGAAGGCCGAAUUAAAUUCCCAAAACUGCAUCAAUGUAGAUAGGGAUAUCGACGUAGGAAAUUCAUUGAUGCCUAAAACCAAUGAUGGAGAUGCAAACUUAAUGACCGAGGGUCCUUUGACCUUUGAUGUUUUUCUUUCAGUUUUUUCAUCGAUGGAAAAAUGAUGAUUAAAUAGCAUUUGCAGAAAGCCUUCCAGAGACAGAUCAGCUUACAGAUAGGGGAGAAAUUCAUGCAGCUUUUAAUGAAUGACAGCUCGGUCUUGCCCAAGUUCACUUGUAAAGAUAAUUCUGCUGCUGAUAGGGUUCAUGAAGCUCCUAACAACAGAACGAGGAAAUACAAGCGCUCCGCUUCAUUCAAUUCAAGAAAAGUUGCUCUCCUUUUCUCUGUCCUGUCAAUUAUGGGAACGGUGGUGCUGAUUUACUUGACAUUGAGAGUGAGACAGAUCGGUGUUCACGACUGAUAAGUUCUGCAAGUACCACCCUUUGUUGCUUGAUCUUCCUUUCGUUAAAGUUCUCUCCAAGUUUUCCAGUUUUCUGUUUUCUUCUGUUUUUUUUUAUAUACAGUUUCGUUUUUCUUUUUACUUUCAGAUUUUUAGUUCCAAGUUCAUUUUUUUUUUCCCAUUGUACAUAAGCUGACUUUACAUUCAUAUCAAUAGUUCUUGUCAUCCAGUAUAUUCCUAUUCCUUCUUAUUACAAAUCAUGAUGGUUUAAAUAAAUUGCUUCAAUUUUAUGUUGA